rnacentral:rRNA from 1 species
UCCUUGUAGGGUGAACCUGCGGAGGGAUCAUUA